CCUACGGGUGGCAGCAGUGAGGAAUAUUGGGCAAUGGAGGCAACUCUGACCCAGCCAUGCCGCGUGAGUGAAGAAGGUUUUCGGAUUGUAAAGCACUUUCGGAUGUGACGAUGAUGAUGGUAGCAACUAAAGAAGCCCCGGCUAACUCCGUGCCAGAAGCCGCGGUCAUCCGAAGGGGGCAAGCGUUGUUCGGAAUUACUGGGCGUAAAGGGAGUGUAGGCGGUUUAGUAAGAUAGUGGUGAAAUCCCAGGGCUUAACUUUGGAAUUGCCAUUAUAACUAGUAGAGGAGAAUUACAGAGAGGAUAGUGGAAUACCCAGUGUAGAGGUGAAAUUCGUAGAGAUUGGGUAGAACACCAGUGGCGAAGGCGACUAUCUGGCUGUACAUUGACGCUGAGGCUCGAAAGCAUGGGGAGCAAACAGGAGUAGAUACCCCUGUAGUC
rnacentral:rRNA from 1 species